UAUAGAUUCAAUUCUAUCUGGUAGUGGGAUAUACAAUGAUCUCUAUCAAAGUAUCAUUGAAACUCUUUUCAAUGGGAUGGAACAAUUCCACUCUAACUCAUCAAGGGUUGUCGAUCCAGAACAACCCUAGUGAGCUCUCACAAUUCAUCAGUGACAUCUAGUAGUAUGUAGUGGCAACCCAGUAGAAUUGAAAUAAACCUCUAGGUAUAGUUAACAUAUGAUUCAGUCUCUCUAUCGUGAGUCUCGACUACAUGGC
rnacentral:lncRNA from 1 species